rnacentral:rRNA from 1 species
UACCGGUUGUGACGCCAGUCGCAUCGCCGGGUAGCUAUGUUCGGAAGGGAUAACCGCUGAAAGCAUCUAAGCGGGAAGCCUACCUCAAGAUAAGAUUUCCCUAGGAAUUUAUUCCUCUAAAGAGCCGUUCGAGACUAGGACGUUGAUAGGUUGGAUGUGGAAGCAUAGUGAUAUGUGAAGCUGACCAAUACUAAUUGCUCGUGAGGCUUGACUAUACAACACCCAAGCAGUUG